GCCGGGCGCAGUGGCGCUCGCCUGUAAUCGCAAUGGCUCGGGAGGCUGAGGCAGGAGGAUCGAAAGUUCAAAGCCAGCCUCACCAACAGUGAGGUGCUAAGCAACUCGGUGAGACCCCGUCUCUA
rnacentral:sRNA from 1 species